rnacentral:rRNA from 1 species
UUGGAGGGCAAGUCUGGUGCCAGCAGCCGCGGUAAUUCCAGCUCCAAUAGCGUAUAUUAAAGUUGUUGCAGUUAAAAAGCUCGUAGUUGAAUUUCGGGAUUAGUACGCUGGUCGUGCCUUCGGUACGUACUGGUGUUACUGAUUUCUACCUUCUGACGAACCAUCAUGUCAUUAAUUUGGUGUGGUGGGGAAUCAGGACUGUUACUUUGAAAAAAUUAGAGUGUUUAAAGCAGGCUCGCGCUUGAAUACAUUAGCAUGGAAUAAUGAAAUAGGACGUUGAUCCUAUUUUGUUGGUUUCUAGGAUUGACGUAAUGAUUAAUAGGGAUAGUUGGGGGCAUUAGUAUUCAAUUGUCAAAGGUGAAAUUCUUGGAUUUAUUGAAGACUAACUACUGCGAAAGCAUUUGCCAAGGAUGUUUUCAUUAAUCAAGAACGAAAGUUAGGGGAUCGAAGACGAUCAGAUACCGUCGUAGUCUUAACCAUAAACUAUGCCGACUAGGGAUCGGAUGAUGUUAUUUUUAAUGACUCAUUCGGCGCCUUACGGGAAAC